GACGAACGCUGGCGGCGUGCCUAAUACAUGCAAGUAGAACGCAGUUGCGAACGGGUGAGUAACGCGUAGGUAACUGCCUCAUAGCGGGGGAUAACUAUUGGAAACGAUAGCUAAUACCGCAUACUGUGAGAUGGACAUGCGUUGUAUUAGCUAGUUGGUGAGGUAAAGGCGCACCAAGGCGACGAUACAUAGCCGACCUGAGAGGGUGAUCGGUCACCCUGGGACUUAGACCCGGCCCAGACUCCGACGGUAGGCAGCAGGAGGGGAGCUGUGGCAAGGGACUGAAGUCUGACCGAGCCACGCCGCGUGGGUGGAGGAGGUUUUCUGAUCGUAAAGCUCAGUUGUUAGAGAAGCGGUAACUAACGAGGAAGGGACGGCUAACUACGUGCCAGCAGCCGCGGUAAUG
rnacentral:rRNA from 1 species